AAUGGCAGCUCCGAGCUUCCCGCACCGCUGCAUGGGCGCGUGGGCGGAAGGCGCCUUCACCAAUGUGUACGAGUCCAUAGAGGAUAGGUUCCUGCUGCUGGAGGCGCUGGAGGCAGCAGCGGCUGAACUGACAGGAUUCGAGGAGGACGAGGGUCCCCGUGGGAGAGGGCUUCAGCGUUCUGGAGAGGCAGCGGCAAAGGAGAGCCCGGGAAAGAAGGCAUGCAGUCCACAGGAGAGGAGGCGGUGUCCGCAGACUUGGCGAACAUGGAUACCAGAACGCUGAGUGGAAAUAUGCCUUGAAGUAGGAUCAGGGUCUGGAGUGGUAUCUGCAUUCCUAGCCUCUAUGAUAGGUCCUCAAGCUUUGUACAUGUGCUCUGAUAUCAACCCUGAAGCAUCAGCUUGCACUCUGGAGACAGCACACUGUAACAAAGUCCACAUUCAGCCAGUAAUUACAGACUUGGAAACUUCUACUGUCUUGGAAGGAUCAGUCAUCUUUUGGUCAGAAGUGACAGAGAAUCCAGUUUAAACUGGCUUAAGUAAAGUGUGUGGCUUCAGGCACAGCUGGCUCCAGGAACUCAAGUGAUAUGACAGGCAUCUUCUUAACUCUGAACUUCUCUGUUGGCGCUAUUUCUAGGUAGUCUUUUUCUUCUUGGUAAGAAGAAAAUUUGAGAAUAUGGAAAGUUUAAAGAAGAAACUUUCUCAGUUCUCAGCAAACACCUCCCUUAUCCUUCCAUGGAAAGAAACUCUUUCUAUUUAGUUAGUCUUACAAGCCCCAGAAAGAGUAUUGCUUGGAUCAUCUUGGAUCAUAUGCCAUCUCAAAAUGUCUCACUGUGGCCAAAGGGGAUUGAAAUAUGCAGAUGACUAGUUUAGGCCUGAGUCAUAGUCCCACCCCAACAGCUGCAUUGGGAUAAGCCCUACCCAAGCUAAAUGGAUUGAGAAUGUGAGGAUAGAGAAUUUACCCAUUAGAGAUCAAGGAGAUGAAAUCAGAAGAAAGAGGAGAAUGAGGCCUGGAGAGAUU